rnacentral:rRNA from 1 species
AAACGACUCUCGACAACGGAUAUCUCGGCUCUCGCAUCGAUGAAGAACGUAGUGAAAUGCGAUACUUGGUGUGAAUUGCAGAAUCCCGUGAACCAUCGAGUCUUUGAACGCAAGUUGCGCCCGGAGCUACUAGGCCGAGGGCACGUCUGCCUGGGCGUCUCGCAA